GAUGAACGCUGGCGGCGUGCCUAAUACAUGCAAGUCGAGCGAACAGACGAGGCGCUUGCUCCUCUGACGUUAGCGGCGGACGGGUGAGUCACACGUGGAUAACCUACCUAUAAGACUGGGAUAACUUCGGGACACCGGAGCUAAUACCGGAUAAUAUAUUGAACCGCAUGGUUCAAUAGUGAAAGACGGUUUUGCUGUCACUUAUAGAUGGUUCCGCGCCGCAUUAGCUAGUUGGUACGGUACCGGCUUACCAAGGCAACGAUGCGUAGCCGACCUGAGAGAGUGAUCGGCCACACUGGAACUGAGACACGGUCCAGACGCCUACGGGAGGCAGCAGUAGGGAAUCUUCCGCAAUGGGCGAAAGCCUGACGGAGCAACGCCGCGUGAGUGAUGAAGGUCUUCGGAUCGUAAAGCUCUGUUAUUAGGGAAGAACAGAUGUGUACGUAACUAUGCACGUCUUGACGGUACCUAAUCAGAAAGCCACGGCUAACUACGUG
rnacentral:rRNA from 1 species